UUAAUUGAUGACUUGUAUGAAAGAUUGGAUGAAAUAUAAACUGUCUCUUAAUUAUGAAUAGAAUUUAAUUUUUUUAUUAAAAAGUUAAAAUAAUUUAAAAAGACGAGAAGACCCUAUAGAGUUUUAUAAUUAAGUUAAUUAAAAUUAUUUAUUAAAAUAAAAUUAAAAUUAAUUUAUUUAUUUUGUUGGGGUGACAAAAAAAUAUAUAUAACUUUUUUUAAAAAUAAUAACAUUUAUAAGUGAUUAAAUGAUCCAAUAUUAUUGAUUAUAAGAAAAAAUUACCUUAGGGAUAACAGCGUAAUUUUUUUUUUUAGUUCAUAUAAAAAAAAAA
rnacentral:rRNA from 1 species